CCUACGGGAGGCAGCAGUGAGGAAUAUUGGUCAAUGGACGAGAGUCUGAACCAGCCAAGUAGCGUGAAGGAUGACUGCCCUAUGGGUUGUAAACUUCUUUUAUAUGGGAAUAAAAUGUUCCACGUGUGGGAUUUUGUAUGUACCAUAUGAAUAAGGAUCGGCUAACUCCGUGCCAGCAGCCGCGGUAAUACGGAGGAUCCGAGCGUUAUCCGGAUUUAUUGGGUUUAAAGGGAGCGUAGGUGGAUUGUUAAGUCAGUUGUGAAAGUUUGCGGCUCAACCGUAAAAUUGCAGUUGAAACUGGCAGUCUUGAGGACAGUAGAGGUGGGCGGAAGUCGUGGUGUAGCGGUGAAAUGCUUAGAUAUCACGAAGAACUCCGAUUGCGAAGGCAGUUCACUGGACUGCAACUGACACUGAGGCUCGAAAGUGUGGGUAUCAAACAGGAUUAGAUACCCUUGUAGUC
rnacentral:rRNA from 1 species